CCUAGCAAUAGGUAUGCUUAGGGAAGAGCUUGCGUCACAUUAGUUAGUUGGUGGGGUAAUGGCCUACCAAGACGAUGAUGUGUAGCCGGGCUGAGAGGUCGAACGGCCACAUUGGGACUGAGACACGGCCCAAACUCCUACGGGAGGCAGCAGUAAGGAAUUUUCGGCAAUGGAGGAAACUCUGACCGAGCAAUGCCGCGUGAACGAUGAAGUAUUUCGGUACGUAAAGUUCUUUUAUUAGGGAAGAAAAGAUGGUGGAAAAACCAUUAUGACGGUACCUAAUGAAUAAGCCCCGGCUAACUAUGUGCCAGCAGCCGCGGUAAUACAUAGGGGGCAAGCGUUAUCCGGAAUUAUUGGGCGUAAAGGGUGCGUAGGCGGUUAAAUAAGUUUAUGGUCUAAGUGCAACGCUCAACGUUGUGAUGCUAUAAAAACUGUUUAGCUAGAGUUGGAUAGAGGCAAGUGGAAUUCCGUGUGUAGUGGUAAAAUGCGUAAAUAUACGGAGGAACACCAGAAGCGAAGGCGGCUUGCUGGGUCUUAACUGACGCUGAGGCACGAAAGCGUGGGGAGCAAACAGGAUUAGAUACCCUGGUAGUCCACGCCCUAAACGAUGAGUACUAAACGUUGGAUAAAACCAGUGUUGAAGUUAACACAUUAAGUACUCCGCCUGAGUAGUACGUACGCAAGUAUGAAACUUAAAGGAAUUGACGGGACUCCGCACAAGCGGUGGAUCAUGUUGUUUAAUUCGAAGGUACCCGAAAAACCUCACCAGGUCUUGACAUGCUUUUGCAAAGCUGUAGAAAUACAGUGGAGGUUAUCAGAAGCACAGGUGGUGCAUGGUUGUCGUCAGCUCGUGUCGUGAGAUGUUGGGUUAAGUCCCGCAACGAGCGCAACCCUUGUUGUUAAUUGCCAUCAUUAAGUUGGGGACUUUAGCAAGACUGCCAAUGAUAAAUUGGAGGAAGGUGGGGACGACGUCAAAUCAUCAU
rnacentral:rRNA from 1 species